CUUUCUAUUCACGCGUUGGAGCAAGCAGCAGGGUAUUCACAUAAUUAGGGGUUAGGAAUUGGGGAUUAGUCGGCGAUUUCGAGCAAACCACGGAGUUUCAUCUCUUCCAACGAUUGAAGUGUUGUCUGACUGCCGUAAAGAGUUGACCGGGAUGUUCAGAAAUAGUUGAAUAGUAUUGUGAAGCGAGGCUGGCAUAAACCAAUAAAGUAAAGCUGUGCUAUGGAUAUAUUAAAGCCCGUCAGAAACUAAGCAGAAGGGAACAUUUCAGUAGAUAGUACUAUUAGAAAUCUGAGUUAGACACCGGAGUUAAGGCAAGUAUUCCCAUUCUUCUCUUUUAUUUAAAGAGCAAUUUUUAUUAUCAUUCUCUUAUAUUUAAAAAGCAAGUUCCCGGUUUCUUCUAUUUAUUCAAGAAUGAUUUUGGGACUUUUUGGAAUUCUUUAUUGUUAAAUGUAUUUCAUGGUUUACUUUGUCCCAGUGGCAAUUGGUUAUUUUGUUCAAUAUUCUCUUGAUAUUAUAUCUUUUAAGAAUGUUGAGCAUACCAAAUAUAUAUGAUUUCAAACUUGGUUAACAGUAGAAUGUGGUAUACAGAGGAUUACUCUGCAGGUUUUGAUUUUAAAAGGUUGGAUACCUUUUGGAUUUAGUAACAUGAAAAUGAUGUUAAAAGACUUCUAAUAUAGAAGUAUUAUUUAUAAAACUGUUAACCAAUCGGAAUUCAUUUUCUAGACCGUGGUGCCGGUCGUGAGUUACAUGUUACAUUAUUUAAGGCCAAUGUGUGCCUUGGGCCCCUUUGUUUUUGGGACAGGUAGCACCCUGUGCCUGGUGCUUGAUGCUCGGCUGAUCACCGUGUCAGCACAACGCGCCGUAAGCGAAUGAUUUUUCACAGAAUAGUUUUAAAUGAUUAUAUUCUCUUGUAAUUGCCAUACUUUUAUUAAAUUAUAACUGUUGUUCUCCAUUGUUGAAAAUACCUGACAAGUUACAUACAAAAUCUGAUAUAUUUCAUUCUCCUUUUAUUUAUUACAAUUGUUCUUUUUAUAUAUUUGCUGAGCAUUAUUGCUCACCCUUGCUAUUCCUUUUAACCCUUUCAGCUAGGGAUUAAGAUGAUUCGUUUGUCAAGCUGCGCGUAGGAGUAAUGCUAGGCGAGAUUGCCAGGGAGAUGUCUUCAAGAAUAGUUCUGGUUAAAAUUGAUUUAUUCCAGUUUAGUUGUAUAUCAGAUUUAUUUAUUUGGUUAUCAGUUACUCUUCUUAUCGAAGUUUAGCUGAUAAUGUUGUCUAAGUUGUCAUGAGAUUUUAAGGUUUUGGUUUCUGAUUUCGAUGCUGUAACCUAUUAGCGAUCCUGUUUUUAGGGGGUCAAAGUGAUUUUGAUUUAAAUCUCUUUUAAAUUGUGCAGAUAUUUUAUAUAUAUGUUUUACCUUUUUCCGCAAAUACAAG